UACGGAGGGUGCGAGCGUUAAUCGGAAUUACUGGGCGUAAAGAGUGCGUAGGUGGUUAAUUAAGUUAUCUGUGAAAUCCCUGGGCUUAACCUGGGCAGGUCAGAUAAUACUGAUUGACUCGAGUAUGGGAGAGGGUAGUGGAAUUUCCGGUGUAGCGGUGAAAUGCGUAGAGAUCGGAAGGAACACCAGUGGCGAAGGCGGACUACCUGGCCUAAUACUGACACUGAGGCACGAAAGCGUGGGGGAGCAAACAGGGA
rnacentral:rRNA from 1 species